rnacentral:rRNA from 1 species
GGUUAAGUUAGAAAGGGCGCACGGUGGAUGCCUUGGCACUAGGAGCCGAUGAAGGACGGGACGAACACCGAUAUGCUUCGGGGAGCUGUAAGCAAGCUUUGAUCCGGAGAUUUCCGAAUGGGGAAACCCACCACUCGUAAUGGAGUGGUAUCCAUAUCUGAAUACAUAGGAUAUGAGAAGGCAGACCCGGGGAACUGAAACAUCUAAGUACCCGGAGGAAGAGAAAGCAAAUGCGAUUCCCUGAGUAGCGGCGAGCGAAACGGGACCAGCCCAAACCAAGAGGCUUGCCUCUUGGGGUUGUAGGACACUCUGUACGGAGUUACAAAGGAACGAGGUAGAUGAAGAGGUCUGGAAAGGCCCGCCAUAGGAGGUAACAGCCCUGUAGUCAAAACUUCGUUCUCUCCUGAGUGGAUCCUGAGUACGGCGGAACACGUGAAAUUCCGUCGGAAUCCGGGAGGACCAUCUCCCAAGGCUAAAUACUCCCUAGUGACCGAUAGUGAACCAGUACCGUGAGGGAAAGGUGAAAAGCACCCCGGAAGGGGAGUGAAAGAGAUCCUGAAACCGUGUGCCUACAAGUAGUCAGAGCCCGUUAACGGGUGAUGGCGUGCCUUUUGUAGAAUGAACCGGCGAGUUACGAUCCCGUGCAAGGUUAAGCAGAAGAUGCGGAGCCGCAGCGAAAGCGAGUCUGAAUAGGGCGAAUUGAGUACGUGGUCGUAGACCCGAAACCAGGUGAUCUACCCAUGUCCAGGGUGAAGUUCAGGUAACACUGAAUGGAGGCCCGAACCCACGCACGUUGAAAAGUGCGGGGAUGAGGUGUGGGUAGGGGUGAAAUGCCAAUCGAACCUGGAGAUAGCUGGUUCUCUCCGAAAUAGCUUUAGGGCUAGCCUCAAGGUAAGAGUCUCGGAGGUAGAGCACUGAUUGGACUAGGGGCCCUACCGGGUUACCGAAUUCAGUCAAACUCCGAAUGCCGAUGACUUAUCCUUGGGAGUCAGACUGCGAGUGAUAAGAUCCGUAGUCGAAAGGGAAACAGCCCAGACCGCCAGCUAAGGUCCCAAAGUAUACGUUAAGUGGAAAAGGAUGUGGAGUUGCUUAGACAACCAGGAUGUUGGCUUAGAAGCAGCCACCAUUUAAAGAGUGCGUAAUAGCUCACUGGUCGAGUGACUCUGCGCCGAAAAUGUACCGGGGCUAAACGUAUCACCGAAGCUGCGGACUGUUCUUCGAACAGUGGUAGGAGAGCGUUCUAAGGGCUGUGAAGCAAGACCGGAAGGACUUGUGGAGCGCUUAGAAGUGAGAAUGCCGGUAUGAGUAGCGAAAGAGGGGUGAGAAUCCCCUCCACCGAAUGCCUAAGGUUUCCUGAGGAAGGCUCGUCCGCUCAGGGUUAGUCGGGACCUAAGCCGAGGCCGAAAGGCGUAGGCGAUGGAUAACAGGUUGAUAUUCCUGUACCACCUCCUCACCAUUUGAGCAAUGGGGGACGCAGGAGGAUAGGGUAAGCGCGGUAUUGGAUAUCCGCGUCCAAGCAGUUAGGCUGGGAAAUAGGCAAAUCCGUUUCCCGUGAAGGCUGAGCUGUGAUGGCGAGCGAAUUAUAGUAGCGAAGUUCCUGAUUCCACACUGCCAAGAAAAGCCUCUAGCGAGGUGAGAGGUGCCCGUACCGCAAACCGACACAGGUAGGCGAGGAGAGAAUCCUAAGGUGAUCGAGAGAACUCUCGUUAAGGAACUCGGCAAAAUGACCCCGUAACUUCGGGAGAAGGGGUGCUCUGUUAGGGUGCAAGCCCGAGAGAGCCGCAGUGAAUAGGCCCAGGCGACUGUUUAGCAAAAACACAGGUCUCUGCGAAGCCGUAAGGCGAAGUAUAGGGGCUGACGCCUGCCCGGUGCUGGAAGGUUAAGAGGAGCGCUUAGCGUAAGCGAAGGUGCGAAUUGAAGCCCCAGUAAACGGCGGCCGUAACUAUAACGGUCCUAAGGUAGCGAAAUUCCUUGUCGGGUAAGUUCCGACCCGCACGAAAGGCGCAACGAUCUGGGCACUGUCUCAACGAGAGACUCGGUGAAAUUAUAGUACCUGUGAAGAUGCAGGUUACCCGCGACAGGACGGAAAGACCCCGUGGAGCUUUACUGCAGCCUGAUAUUGAAUGUUGGUACAGCUUGUACAGGAUAGGUAGGAGCCUUGGAAACCGGAGCGCCAGCUUCGGUGGAGGCAUCGGUGGGAUACUACCCUGGCUGUAUUGACCUUCUAACCCGCCGCCCUUAUCGGGCGGGGAGACAGUGUCAGGUGGGCAGUUUGACUGGGGCGGUCGCCUCCUAAAAGGUAACGGAGGCGCCCAAAGGUUCCCUCAGAAUGGUUGGAAAUCAUUCGCAGAGUGUAAAGGCACAAGGGAGCUUGACUGCGAGACCUACAAGUCGAGCAGGGACGAAAGUCGGGCUUAGUGAUCCGGUGGUUCCGCAUGGAAGGGCCAUCGCUCAACGGAUAAAAGCUACCCCGGGGAUAACAGGCUUAUCUCCCCCAAGAGUCCACAUCGACGGGGAGGUUUGGCACCUCGAUGUCGGCUCAUCGCAUCCUGGGGCUGUAGUCGGUCCCAAGGGUUGGGCUGUUCGCCCAUUAAAGCGGUACGCGAGCUGGGUUCAGAACGUCGUGAGACAGUUCGGUCCCUAUCCGUCGCGGGCGCAGGAAAUUUGAGAGGAGCUGUCCUUAGUACGAGAGGACCGGGAUGGACGCACCGCUGGUGUACCAGUUGUUCUGCCAAGGGCAUCGCUGGGUAGCUAUGUGCGGACGGGAUAAGUGCUGAAAGCAUCUAAGCAUGAAGCCCCCCUCAAGAUGAGAUUUCCCAUUCCGCAAGGAAGUAAGAUCCCUGAAAGAUGAUCAGGUUGAUAGGUCUGAGGUGGAAGUGUGGCGACACAUGGAGCUGACAGAUACUAAUCGAUCGAGGACUUAACCAA